rnacentral:pre_miRNA from 1 species
GAAAAGUUCUGACUCUGCGCGCUAACCAGGGCACCAGGGCUUUGUUAUCUUUCAUAUUUUGAAUUAUUAACUAUUUAUUAUUUAAUAAUUGAGAUCAAGUCAGGUACCUGAAGUAGCGCGCGAAGUUGGGAUGA